rnacentral:lncRNA from 1 species
AACCUUUGAAUGGGGCAACGCAGAGACUGCCACUGACCUCGACCAGCAGUUUCAGUGGAAUGUGGGAUCCUGGUAAAAGGUGUUGGCACCCUUUCAAAAAAUUGUUGGUACCUUUGUACAGAGCUGUGGUCAUAUCAAUUGGCACAAUACUUUUGGAAAUUACAAUUGUUCCGUGAAAGGGCCAUUUACGCAGAGUGAUGCCCAAGUGUCAAAGAAGUCCAGAAACCAAAGCAGGAGGCUGUCAAAUCCAGUUUGUUGAUUUUAGGUCACUUACUAGGGCAACUUAAAGACAGAAGCAUGCUCUUGGGCAGCCACGAGAUACGUAGGUCUCUGUACUGCAACCCCCGAAACCCAGGGCCUCUAUCUCGGGGAAAAAGUGUAUGUGCUCUGAAAGUGUAUGUGGAAUAUAAUGUAUCUGGAAGUAUACGUGCUCUGGGAAGUGUAGGUGGCUACCAGCAUCACAGCCUAUUUCUGCAACAGCAUCAAGGGUUGCUUUGGAGGAAAAGCAAAACUUGAAAUGAAGAGGUAUUCCCACAGAAAGAGUAAUACAUCAACUAGACAUUUUGUUCCUGGACUUGAAGUUAGUCAGGUAGAUUAGCAUUUAAAAUAAAGUCACUCUUGGCUGGGCACAGUGACUAAUGCCUGUAAAUCUCAGCACUUUGGGAGGCCGAGGUGGAAGGAUCACUUGAGCCAAGGAGUUUGAGACCACCCUGGACAACAUAGCAAGACUUCAUCUCUAUUAAAAAAAAAAAGUAGCUGGGUAUGGUGGCACACAUCUUCAGUCCCAGGUAUUCAGGAGGCUGAGGCAGGAGGAUCGUUUGAGCCAGGAGGUCGAGGUUGCAGUGAACUAAGAUCAUGCCACUGCACUCCAGCAUGGUGGACAGAACAAAACCCUGUCUCAAAAGAAAAAAAGCCACUCUUGUCCACAACAAUUUGUACCAUGAACCACAAAAUUUUUCAUAUAUAUUUUGACCUAAUGAACUUUUUGAGGAAAAAGAGAUAAACACCAAAGAUAUGCAUAAACGUUUAUGACUAUAAAACAUUAAAAAUAACCAUAAUAUUCAAUGUUGUAGAAAUAAUGGAGUAAACUGUUACCCACUCAUUUGGCAGAAUAUUUUACAACCACUGUAAUUAGUGGUGUGCUGGACUCAGCCCAUACUGGCUUGAGAGAGCCAAUUGUGUGCAUUCUUCCCAACUCUGCAUUCCAUGAUGUCAUGUCAGUAGCAUGAAAUCAGCCAUGGUGGGAGUAUUUACACGAGAGAAAUUGGCAAACACUACCAAUUAGGGCUUACCCCAUCCCCAGAGAGCAAGUUGUUAAAACAUUUUCCAGCACACCAUUGGUAAGUGGUAUAUAUAAAAAAGAUACAAAAUUAUAAGUGUACCAUUGUCAUAACAAUGUUAAAAAUGAAUAUAAAGAUAAGACAUGGAAGGGACUAUAGAUGAGCUGAAAAAAGAUUGUGGAUAACUUAUUUUUUUAUUUCAAGCUCUGUUUAUUGCUAUAGUCUUAUUUAUAUAAAAACACAUUUUUUAAAUGUUUAAAUCUGGUCUUCUGUUUUCACUAUGACCAAAUAAUUUCCUAUGAAUUCAUCCUCUCACAUAUACAAAAUAUAAUCUCUGGAAAACACACACACACACACACACACACACACACACACACACACACAAACUGCAUACAGACACUGGAGAGUGAAAAAGGCAGGCAGAUUCUGAAGCAGAGUCAACAUUUGGAAGAGGGAAACAAUAUAAAAUAAAGUGUCCCAUUUUUAUGACAGUUAAUUUGAAGGCAGGCUGCAGUUGGUACUGUGUGUAGAGCAGCUAAAACUUUGGUGGGAAAUUAGCAAUAUUUUCUGGCCUGAAGACCAGGAGACACAGUUUAGGGCACCUAAAGCCAUUUAGAAAAUGAGGAGGGAAUCCCAGAAGUGAGAGUCAGAGAAGGGAAUUCUCAAGUUCUGUGCAUAAACUGCCCACAUUGCUGGCUGCCCUGGAUCACACAUAUGUGGUACACAUUCAAACCAGCCCAGCUUGAGCUAGAAGACGUGAACUGAUUUUGAGCUGCUGCCCAAGAUACAGCAUUUGUAGCUAACAUCCAGCCAAGUUAACUCGCUUGUUCCUAAAACCAAACCAAACCAAAAAGCCAACUCUCUGGAAAAAACAACAGAAUCCAAAGUCUCCACAGCAUAACACUGACAAUGUCUUAGAAAAAAUCCAAGAAUAUCUGACAUAUAAAGAACCAGGAAAAUGUAGUCUAUUCUCAACGGAAAAGAAUCACAAAAUGACUCAGAUCCUGGAAUCAGGAAACACGACUUUAAAGCAGCUAUAUAAGCAUGAUUGAUGAGGUAAGAAAAAACAUACCUGCAAUAAAUGGAAAAGUAGGGAAUCUCAGAAGAAUCUACAAGAGUUUCUAUAGACAUCAUAGAAGUAAUUAAGUAAAAUUCUAGGACUAAAAAUUACAAGAUCUAAAAGAAAAAAUUAUGGAAUGGGCUUAACAGAAUGAUGAUGAAUCAAGAAAAAAAUCCAUAAACUUGAGGUUGGGUCAAUAGAACUUACUCAAUCUGAGAACAGAGAGAAAAACAAAAUUGAAAAAAUCUGAAAAGGGUUUCAGAGACCUGUGGAAUCUGUGGAACCUGUGGAACCUGUGGAACCUGUGUCUAACAUACUUACAGUUGAAGUCACAGAAGGAAAAGAAUGAGAGAAUGUAACAAAAAAUAUUAGAAGAAAUAAUGGCUGGACCUUUCCCAAAUAUGAUGAAAGACAUAAAUUUAUUGAUUUAAGAAACUCAAUAAACCUGAGGCAGAAUAAUUAUGAACAGGACCAUGUCUAAGCACAUCAUAGUCAAACUAUUGAAAAGCAAAAUGAAUGAGAUAGCGGUCAGAGAAAAACAACAUAUUACAUACAAGGAACAAAUAUGUGAAUGACUGCUAAUUUCUCAUCAAUAGUCAUAAAAACAUCCUUAAAGUGCUGAAAGAAAAAAUACAUUCAAUUCUAUAGCUAAUGAAAAUAUCCUUCAAGAAUGCGGGCAAAUAAAGACAUUUUCAGAUAAAACAAAAUUGAGAAAACUCAUUGCCAUCAGAGCUCUACAGGAAAUUAUAAAGUUUUUCUUCAUGCUAAAGGAAAAUAAUACCAGAU